UACGAAGGGGGGCUAGCGUUGUUCGGAAUUACUGGGCGUAAAGCGCACGUAGGCGGAUUGUUAAGUUAGGGGUGAAAUCCCAGGGCUCAACCCUGGAACUGCCUUUAAUACUGGCAAUCUCGAGUCCGAGAGAGGUGAGUGGAAUUCCGAGUGUAGAGGUGAAAUUCGUAGAUAUUCGGAGGAACACCAGUGGCGAAGGCGGCUCACUGGCUCGGUACUGACGCUGAGGUGCGAAAGCGUGGGGGAGCAAACAGG
rnacentral:rRNA from 1 species